GCCUGGGUGGCUCAGUCAGUUGAGCGUCCGACUUCGGCUCAGGCCAUGAUCUCACAGUUUGUGGGUUCGAGCCCCACAUCAGGCU
rnacentral:tRNA from 1 species